rnacentral:rRNA from 1 species
GCGUGAGUGAUGAAGGCCUUCGGGUUGUAAAGCUCUUUUAGCGGGGAAGAUAAUGACGGUACCCGCAGAAUAAGCCCCGGCUAACUUCGUGCCAGCAGCCGCGGUAAGACGAAGGGGGCUAGCGUUGUUCGGAAUUACUGGGCGUAAAGGGCGCGCAGGCGGCUUUGCAAGUCAGGCGUUAAAGACCCAGGCUCAACCUGGGGAAUGCGCUUGAUACUGCGGAGCUUGAGAUCGGAAGAGGAGAGUGGAAUUCCCAGUGUAGAGGUGAAAUUCGU